rnacentral:rRNA from 1 species
UACGUAGGGGGGCAAGCGUUGUCCGGAUUUAUUGGGCGUAAAGAGCGUGUAGGCGGCCUGAAAGGUCAGCUGUGAAAACUCGAGGCUCAACCUCGAGAUGUCGGUUGAAACCAUCUGGCUAGAGUCCGGAAGAGGAGAGUGGAAUUCCCCGGUGUAGCGGUGAAAUGCGCAGAUAUCGGGAAGAACACCCGUGGCGAAGGCGGCUCUCUGGGACGGUACUGACGCUGAGACGCGAAAAGCGUGGGGGAGCAAACAGG